rnacentral:rRNA from 1 species
ACAAGCGGUGGAGCAUGUGGUUAAUUCGUACGCAACGCGCUAGAACCUUACCUGGUUUGACAUCUCGGGAAUCUUGUGGAAACACGAGAGUGCCUUCGGGAGCCCGAAGACAGGUGCUGCAUGGCUGUCGUCAGCUCGUGCCGUGAGGUGUUGGGUUAAGUCCCGCAACGAGCGCAACCCUCAUUGUUAGUUACUACCAUUCAGUUGAGGACUCUAAUGAGACUGCCAACGAUAAGUUGGAGGAAGGUGGGGAUGACGUCAAAUCAUCAUGCCCUUUAUGACCUGGGCUACAAACGUACUACAAUGGCCAAUACAAAGAGAUGCGAAGCGGUGACGUGGAGCGAACCUCAGAAAGUUGGUCUCAGUUCAGAUUGAAGUCUGCAACUCGACUUCAUGAAGGCGGAAUCGCUAGUAAUCGCGGGUCAGCAGACCGCGGUGAAUACGUUCCCGGGUUUU